rnacentral:rRNA from 1 species
UACGGAGGGUGCAAGCGUUAUCCGGAUUCACUGGGUUUAAAGGGUGCGUAGGUGGGCAGGUAAGUCAGUGGUGAAAUCUCCGGGCUUAACCCGGAAACUGCCAUUGAUACUAUUUGUCUUGAAUAUUGUGGAGGUGAGCGGAAUAUGUCAUGUAGCGGUGAAAUGCUUAGAUAUGACAUAGAACACCAAUUGCGAAGGCAGCUCGCUACACAUAUAUUGACUCUGAGGCACGAAAGCGUGGGGAUCAAACAGG